AAUGGGGGCAACCCUGAUCCAGCUAUGCCGCGUGUGUGAAGAAGGCUCUAGGGUUGUAAAGCACUUUAGGUAAGGACGAAAAGAAUAUAGUUAAUACCUAUAUUCCGUGACUUAACUUACAGAAUAAGGACCGGCUAACUCCGUGCCAGCAGCCGCGGUAAUACGGAGGGUCCAAGCGUUAAUCGGAAUUACUGGGCGCAAAGCGCGCGUAGGCGGUUUGUCAAGUUGGAUGUGAAAUCCCUGGGCUCAACCUAGGAACUGCAUUCAAAACUUAUAGACUAGAGUACGAUAGAGGAGGGUAGAAUUCCUGGUGUAGCGGUGAAAUGCGUAGAUAUCAGGAGGAAUACCAAUGGCGAAGGCAACUCUCUGGAUCGACACUGACGCUGAGGUGCGAAAGCGUGGGUAGCAAACAGGAUU
rnacentral:rRNA from 1 species